AGCUUUGCACAGUGGCAAUAUCAUAGCCAACGAGGUUUAUCUGAGGCAUAAUUAUUGUUAGUUGAAAACUUUCCCUAUAAAUCCUGAGGCUGAUUUUGGCAGUCAGUCUAGACACUCCGGGACUGGA
rnacentral:snRNA from 1 species